rnacentral:rRNA from 1 species
UACAGAGGGUGCAAGCGUUAAUCGGAUUUACUGGGCGUAAAGCGCGCGUAGGUGGCCAAUUAAGUCAAAUGUGAAAUCCCCGAGCUUAACUUGGGAAUUGCAUUCGAUACUGGUUGGCUAGAGUAUGGGAGAGGAUGGUAGAGUUCCAGGUGUAGCGGUGAAAUGCGUAGAGAUCUGGAGGAAUACCGAUGGCGAAGGCAGCCAUCUGGCCUAAUACUGACACUGAGGUGCGAAAGCAUGGGGAGCAAACAGG